AGGACGAACGCUGGCGGCGUGCUUAACACAUGCAAGUCGAGCGGUAAGGCUCCUUCGGGAGUACACGAGCGGCGAACGGGUGAGUAACACGUGAGCAAUCUGCCCUUCUCAUCGGAAUAACCAUUGGAAACGAUGGCUAAUGCCGAAUAUGACCUCGGAUCACAUGUUCUGAGGUGGAAAGCUCCGGCGGAGAAGGAUGAGCUCGCGGCCUAUCAGCUUGUUGGUGAGGUAAUGGCUCACCAAGGCAUUGACGGGUA
rnacentral:rRNA from 1 species